GGUUGUAAACCUCUUUUAGCAGGGAAGAAGCGAAAGUGACGGUACCUGCAGAAAAAGCGCCGGCUAACUACGUGCCAGCAGCCGCGGUAAUACGUAGGGCGCAAGCGUUAUCCGGAAUUAUUGGGCGUAAAGAGCUCGUAGGCGGUUUGUCGCGUCUGCUGUGAAAUCCCGAGGCUCAACUUCGGGUCUGCAGUGGGUACGGGCAGACUAGAGUGCGGUAGGGGAGAUUGGAAAUCCUGGUGUAGCGGUGGAAUGCGCAGAUAUCAGGAGGAACACCGAUGGCGAAGGCAGAACUCUGGGCCGUAACUGACGCUGAGGAGCGAAAGGGUGGGGAGCAAACAGGCAUAGAUACCCUGGUAGUCCACCCCGUAAACGUUGGGAACUAGUUGUGGGGUCCAUUCCACGGAUUCCGUGACGCAGCUAACGCAUUAAGUUCCCCGCCUGGGGAGUACGGCCGCAAGGCUAAAACUCAAAGGAAUUGACGGGGACCCGCACAAGCGGCGGAGCAACGCGGAUUAAUUCGAUGCAACGCGAAGAACCUUACCAACGCUUGACAUAUAUGAGAACGCUGCAGAAAUGUAGAACUCUU
rnacentral:rRNA from 1 species